CCACAGAAUGAACUCAGUGCUACCCUAGAUGU
rnacentral:piRNA from 1 species